rnacentral:lncRNA from 1 species
GAUAUAGGUUGGCAUCGGAGGGGAAACCACUUUGCCAACAUAAACUGAUGGUUUCCCAAGGACAAGCUUAGUGUCUUAAAAUAAGCAUUGAUCAGAUCGUAACAUGAGCUUUUAAUUAUUUGCAACAUUACCUUGUGUAUUGAGCAUAUAAGGAUAAUUGUAAAAAAAUAUUCCUUCGGGUAUUCUUGUCACUAACCUUUCUAAGAUUGGAGCAAGAAGAUCGGAUGAAUGACAAGGACAAGGUAUGUCCAACCAAUCAUCAUACAACAUUGAAUUAAAUUCAUCCAAACUUGAAUUUUGCAAAAUUCAAGCUUGGGGGAGUACUUUACAUAAAAACAUCCUUUGCCAUGUUGCUAUGCUGGUUGUCCCUACCUUUGAGACAUGCUCAAUUUGUUAAAUACUAAUCACACUACUUCAUCUCCACUUGAGUAGAUCUCUAUAAACGCUGUCAUGCUACCUUUGUCUAUCUACUAGCAAGUGUUGGUUUGGAAGUACUCGCCAUACUUCCAUUGGCAUUUAAAUUAAGCAUGGUGCUUAGGUUAAAUAGCCUUCCUUAAUCUGAUUAGACAUGGAGUCUAGUUUGGUUAUUGAACUAAAAAAAACUGCUUGAGUAGAUAUUGGUAUAUUUUGUCGGACUAACCCCUGCAGAAAACUUUCAAUAUCGAUUUGGGAAGUCCUGAGAUAAACUCACAUCAGAGACGAAGAGAGUGACACAUGAAGUUUAACAAUUUGCACAAGAAGGACAUAGCUCAUUCAUCAUAGAGAGAUGAUCCAUGGAGGGUGCCACGAACACGAUGCACAACCGCUAAGAAAGGAAAGCUUCCACAAGGUGAUACUGUACCAUCACUUUUCAAGCAAGGUAACAUCCUAAGGUACUUGACUAUCACUUUUAUAAGCUUCUCCUUGGUUCUGGCGUUCAUAUAAAUAAAAGAGACAAAGGUGUAUGAUUUACAACUCUAGAUUAAACAACCCAACUGAUUCAACAUGUUUAGUCCUUUAAUCCUUGUUCUUAGUACUACCUCCAUGAUCCCACACUCCUAAUCAUAUGAGCUAAAAUGUUACACAUUCAAUCAUUGAGAGAUAUAAAGAAAAAGACAUAUACAUAGAUAGAUUAUCUUUCCAUAAGGUUGAGCGAUCUGAUCUGACAAAUGUUAUAAGUGCUACACUCAUGAACUUAUCAUCCAUCAACUUUGUCUUGCUCACUAUGCUUAAGGUUAGAGAAGAACAAAUACACUUUUGGUUCUGUUGGUGUUUUCCACCAACAGGGCCCAUGCACUUGAUCUCUGCCUUGUCUCUAUGAGCAGGUACACUACGAGCACAAACACACUGAGUAAGAUACUGCUAACACUGCACUUCGAACUGCUGGGCAAAUGAAGAACAUGGGUGACACCGUAUUAAAAGGUGCAGACGUCAAGGUCCGCACCUGAAUCAAAUGACGCACCUGAAGAAUGAACACGAUGAGAAGUCUUGACAAGAAGACUUAAAACAUUGAACCCUCGCCGAAAGGUAAGAUUGGUAGUUAUCCAUAUUUAUCCUUUCUGCAUUCCCUUUUCCAUUUAAUUAUUUACUUUCCUUAAAUAUAUUAUUAGUUAAUCAUGCUAUCUUGAAAAGAAAAUAAAAAUGUUAAAAAAAUACUAAGCCUCAUGUGAGUAUACGAGUAGCAUUAAACCCAUAAGUACCUUCACUGUGGUGGCAUAAAAAUAAAAUAAAUAUUUCUUUUCUACUUUAUAAAAUAAAAAUAUAAAAAUAGGGAGUAAUAUUUAUUGAGGAAUCUCAACAUGAUGAAGGCUAGAUAUUUAUGCUAAUACUUAAUUAGUUCCACAAGCUUUGUUGUCUAUUUGAGCUCCACAGAAUUUAAGAAUCAAGAAGACUAGCAGACGGAGGACAUUCUAAUCGCUGUCAGAAUGCUGCUGACUUUCAAAUACACCUCUGCCACCUGCUAGCUACAUCAAGAGAAAUUACGUCAAAAUUCAGCUUGGGGGAGAGCACCCCCAUUUAUCUCGCUAAGUAUUUCUACCUAUCUUUAUACUUAUAUUAUAUUAGAAUAUUAAAAUACAUAAACUAUGAAAAACCAAAUAAAGAUUUUGUGCUUAUAUAUAUAUAUCUUUUGCUUAGUGUGUUUAAUAAAUAAAGUGGGUAUGCUAAUCUGAAUCUUAAUAAUAAAACUCUAGCAUGGAUAUGAUGAAUAGUUGCUCUGCCUAAUUUGCAAAUUUGAAGUUCUCUCUCAAGUUUAGACAUAACUGUUAUAAUUUAAAGCUUGCUCUAGAUCUAAACUUGUGGGAUGAAAACUUGAUCUGAAAUCUAAGUUGUUAACGGAUAUGAUAUGGGAAGGUUGAGCUGCUGUUUAUCUGUUCCUAGAGAUGCUAGAAUUCUGGAGAAUUUUAUCUUUGAAAAAUCUUUAAAAUAUUGCAUGAUGAGUUCUUGUAUGAUGAGAGUUUAAAUUCCUACCACAACCAUAUAUAUACAUGCUUGCUAGACUUUGAGCCACACAUUUAUUAUUUACUGCUUAUGAGCUUUGAGUGUGGUCAAGCUGUGUAGACCCUUAGGAGCUUGUCAUGUGAUUAAAUCAAGAUUCACUUGCACGUUCACUCAUACAUGCUGCUUCUACUCCGGAAGUACCAUCCACAUAUAUCCACUCAUUUCCAUCUCCAGAACCACCCAAAAAUAUUCUACUCCUAAUCCAGGAGAGAAUAACCAAAAAUAUUUCUAUUUUUUCCUUGUGAAAUAAAUGCUCAAGUUAUCUUGUUACUACCACUUGCUAUAUUAUCUCAUGAGAUGAGUGCUCUGAAAAGAAAAAAAGAGAGAAAAGAGAAAAAAAAUAAAAAAAACAAGGAAAUAAAAAGGGGCAAGUGUCCGGAACCUCGAAAGAAAGAAAAAGUGAGACGAGAGAUAAAAAUGGACAAAUGUCCGACAGUAGAAUUAGGGGUACAGGAUACCAACCUGAGAGGAAAGAAAAAAAAUGAAAGAUAGAGCAUCUCAUUCUCCUCAUAAAGUUUCAAAAAGCAAGGAAGGUAUGUAUCCCCUCAAAAGAGCAAAAGUAGAAUUAGACUUUCACCAUUGUUGUCACCAUCAUCACCAUACACCAUUCAUUCGCCACACAUGCACAUCUUGGUUUGACUUAUUGACUUGUUUCUCUGGAUCCAUGGUUUGACUAUGCAAUAAAUGUCUUGUAAGUAUGUAUUAGCUGUCUCCCACCUAUGAGCUCCAGAUAUUAAAGCCUUAUUAGAGUAGGGUGAGAGAGAAGGCAAUGUCACUAUGCCUUAUACCACAAAUACCACAUAUCUUGAGAGAAGGCAUAUACCAUCACUGCCUUGGUAAGGAUCCAGAAAUACCACAAAAGUGAGAUUUGGAGAGUCAUACAAGGAAUCUCUGAGUUUUAUUUGAAAAUCUGCAAAAACUCCAGAGCUAUAGCUGAUCAAGAAUAAGAGACAUGGCACUUGGCUAGACUAUUCUAUCUUUUAACUACUCAAGACAGAAGUGACGGUUACAAGUCCCAUGGUGAAAGGUAAAGUAAGUAAGUUUUAGUUCUUGACAGUUUACUCUAACUCAGAGAUGAGAUCUUAUUUAAAAGCAUGUGUACCGACAAAUUUUUAAGAUAUUGCAGCAAUUUCUGAUCCAUUGCUGAGUCUAUCCUUGCUCAGGGACGAGCAAGAGGUAAGCUUGGGGGAGUUUGUCGACGGUCCUUAAGUAUCAAAUUUAAUUAUCAAAUAAACAAAGAAAAGGAUCUAAAUGAAAUCAACAUCUAGACUUAGGGUUUUAUCUAACAGAAUUCCAAGAGUUUUGGUGUUUGUCUAUUUCUGCAGGGGGUUAUCAGGAAAUAAGGAAGAAAGGCCCACACGUCGGGAUUACAUAGAGAUAUCAACGUGCCGCGCAAUUAUCUUACAUCUAGAAGACUCCAGAAGCCACGGGAAGGAAGCGGAGACCGAACGGAGUCAGGGACAGGGCGCUCGCCCAAGUCCUUAGGGCGCCCGCCCACCUUUUUCGGCCAAUCACGCUCAAUCUCGCGGAUUAUGCUCCACCGACCUAAAGGAUCAAGAAUAACCGUUCAAUCAAUGUCGGUUUGAUCCGACGGCCCAGGUUCACUUGAGGGGACUAUAAAACCAGACCCCCUGGCCCCUGGAGGAGGCACCCCCUGAUCAUUAUUCAUUAUUCAUAGACAGAGCAAAAGCUAGGGUUUAGAGAUGACAGCUCUCCUCUCUUCUCUAAACUAGAGUAGAUCUAGAUAGUAGCGAGAUGGAGAGCGAAGGAGGAUUAGAAGAGAGGCCGGCCUGUCGGUUCUUCCUCCGGUUGUACUUCGCCAUGAUCAAGCUCUAAUCAAGCUUGCUCAUGGGAUGACUCUGGUAAUCUACUUCUAAUUCAUUAUGCAAUUACUAAUCAUGUAUGUUCUGGUUCACAACUCUUUUGAGUACUUCUAAUCUAUAGGACCCUAUAGGUUAGAGUUGUAGUAUAGGUGUAAGCGUGGUGCUUAGACCUAGAUUACUUGUGGAUAUCCCC